UAUUCCUCCCUUUCUCUUUACCCACAGCAGCCACAACUCCUGAGGAACAAAGAAACAGGUUUGGAAGGAAGGCAUUGGGCCAGUAAGAUUCUGAAAGGAAUCCGGCCAGUAAGACUGCAGAAGCAUGGGUUAUCCUGUGGAACACAAAGCCAUAUUUGAGCCCUGGCUUGCAGAUUGCAUCAAGCAAGGAGAGAAGUAACCUCCCUAGAAACCUACAGGGUGUUUGAGUUCACUCCUAACUUGGAUGCUGUCCUGAAACCAGGGAGGGAAUGGGAAAGAACAACAGUAAGAAAGACAGUGGGAAGAAGAGGUCUGUCACAAGGUAGGGGAUUAGACGAGAACAACAGUGAGAGAACCUGACAGGAAAAGGCCAUGAAUGGGAGCAAUAGCGACUGAGGCAGCCUUCUUACAGGCACAGUGAGGAGGGAGGAUGGUCUUCUCACUUGUUCAACUUUGAAUAUGCCUUUGAAAAUUGAUUUGGCCAAGCCAAAUAUCAGAAUUUUGCCUAAAAUUCAACCAAAUACCUCUCAGAAGCCAAGGUUUAAAAUAGGAACUGAAUUUCCUUGGGCUAUAGAUUCUGCUGAAGAACAAAGUAC